UCCUACGGGGCGCAGCAGUAGGGAAUCUUCCACAAUGGACGAAAGUCUGAUGGAGCAACGCCGCGUGAGUGAAGAAGGGUUUCGGCUCGUAAGGCUCUGUUGGUAGUGAAGAAAGAUAGAGGGAGUAACUGGCCUUUAUUUGACGGUAAUUACUUAGAAAGUCACGGCUAACUACGUGCCAGCAGCCGCGGUAAUACGUAGGUGGCAAGCGAUGUCCGGAUUUAUUGGGCGUAAAGCGAGGGCAGGCGGUU
rnacentral:rRNA from 1 species